ensembl:miRNA aca-mir-5396a aca-mir-5396a
AGAGUGUCCGCACAACCAGCAAGAAGAUGGGAAGAUCUAGCCACUCCUUCUUGUUGGUCAUGUUGGCAUACA